AUGAUUCAGCAGGAGGGGGCUGGUUGAGGGCUCAGCCUCUCCAAAAUGAUGCAUAUCACUGUUUACUGACUACUACUUUUCUGCAGUUUCCACCCCCCAGUGCCUGAGCUGUGUCCCUAAUUAACAGCAGAGGACGAGGACAAGCCAGAGCCUUUGGGAUGCUUCUGGGCAGAGCCCGGGGAGGGACCGGACCCGUUAGCGGCUGAUUGAGCAAUGCCAGUGUGGCAGAAGAACAGAGUGGCUGCUAUCGUAGAUGGAGAAACAAUAAUCCCUGCCGACCAAGAUGACAACUUUUCUUUGGAUCUGGCAUCAAGUAGAAGGUUCUUUUGAAAGAAAAAGAAAUAUCCUUUUUUUUUUUUAAGGGAAAAUUCAGGGGGGAAAGUCCCCCCACCACAUUAUUCUGGCUCUUUUUUAUUGCCACAGACUGUUUGGAUGAACUCAAAAAUACAUUUUUGGGUAGGAAAAAAGGUUCUGACAACAUUGUAGGUUUUUUUUAGCCUUCUAAUGGUGCUUUCACAAAUAUUACACCAUCCCAGCUUCUUCAUGAAAGUUUCUAGUUGAGAGCUGUGCUCUGAAAACACACAAAAUGUUCUUUUUUUCUGUGUUUAUAACAAGUGGAUAAGGCUAGAGCUGGCAAAAUGGCAAAGGAAUUUUAAUGCUGUAGAAAGAGUGGUGGGCCAUUAGCUUAAUGCCUCCACACAUCUCUCACUAGCUGGCUUUCAUCCUAUAGCCCUUCUUGCAUGCAUUCAGUAUGUCUCAACCAGUCUUCAAGUUUGCCAAUAAAACAUCAGUGGUGUUACUGUGUCUUUCUUUCAUGUCUAGAAGUCUUAAUAUACAUAUAUAUAUUCCUAGUUCCAAAAUAAUUCCACCUUCAGGAAAGUGAAAUAAUUAUUCUUGAGUUGCAGUUGUUACAAGGACUAUAGAAAAAAUAAUGACUGUCUGAGUUUUGAUGUUUUCACCUUAGAAACGUGGCGUGCAUCUUCCACUGUAACUGCAAGAGUAGAAAGAGAUGACAGGUUCAGUGAGACUUUUUCACCUACUCUGGAUUUUUAUCAUAAAGAUUAAUUUCUUGUUGUUCUCCAUCAAUAACUUCCUCUCCAGUGCUUCCCCUGUGUCUGAGUUGGAGAAUGAGACCACUUCAACAGGACACUCUUCCAUCAUUUCCCAAAGACAUUAUUUUUGCAGUCGGAUGAGUGUUGGCUUCCCAGUGAUGCCUCUACGGACAACAGCAUUCUGUCAGACUGACCUCUCAUACAGCGUUUGAUAGUGUGAUAUAAGUGUGCUGAGGAAGACAAGAAGAUGAUCUCCAGUUGAAGGCACACAAACUCCUAGCCGAUUUUAACAGGAUUGAACCCAGACAUCGUUUUUGCUGCACAACUGCACAACUUCAAAUUGGUUUUACAAUUCAAGGCUCUCUCUUCCAUAGUUAGUAAUUAUUACUUGUCAAGGUUCAUUAAUAUCUCUGCCCCAUACAUUACGCAAGAAACAUCAUUAUAGCAAGACCUUACCCCAUGUCAUUAGCAGGAACUUUUGUAUUUAAUGUUGAGAAUGACUCAAGUGAAGUGCUGCUUUCUCUGACCUGUCAUAAAUAAAGAACCAUUAUAAUUAAAAGCC
ensembl:lncRNA